AGCUAAGUUCGGAAUUGAUAAGCGCUGAAAGCAUCUAAGCGCGAAGCGAGCCCUGAGAUGAGUCUUCCCUGACAGUUUAACUGUCCUAAAGGGUUGUUCGAGACUAGAACGUUGAUAGGCAGGGUGUGUAAGCGUUGUGAGGCGUUGAGCUAACCUGUACUAAUUGCCCGUGAGGCUUAACCAU
rnacentral:rRNA from 1 species